GACCAUGGGAUGCUGCACGGGCCGCUGCACCCUGAUCUCGCUGUGCGCUUUGCAGCUGCUUGCUGCACUGGAGAGGCAAGUGUUCGACUUCCUGGGAUACCAGUGGGCCCCGAUUCUGGCCAACUUCCUCCACAUCAUCAUCGUCAUCCUYGGCCUCUUCGGCACCAUUCAGUACAGACCCCGCUACAUAGUGGUGUAUGCCAUCUGGACUGCAAUUUGGGUCACCUGGAACAUCUUCAUCAUCUGCUUUUACUUAGAAGUGGGAGGGCUCUCAAAGGACAGUGAACUGCUGACAUUUAACAUCUCCCGGCACCAGUCGUGGUGGAGUGAGAAUGGSCCUGGCUGCGUGAGGAAGGAGGCUUCCAUGUCCGGCAUCAAGGGCCUGGACACCCAUUCCUACGUGUCGGUCAUAGGCUGUGCCCUGGAGUCCCGCUACAUCGAGGUCCUGCACAGCUCCUUCCAGAUCCUCCUCGCGCUGGUGGGCUUUGUCUACGCCUGUUAUGUUGUUAGUGUUUUUACAGAAGAAGAAGACAGCUUUGAUUUCAUUGGUGGAUUUGAUCCAUUUCCUCUCUACCAUGUCAAUGAAAAACCCACCAACUUUUUGUUCAAGCAGACAUACCUGUAGACUUUUUUCCUAAAAAAAAAACAUUUACUGAACAUCAACAUGAAUUUUCAUACUCUUUUGAUCAACCUGAAGCUGCAUGUUUAAGAGGCCUGCGUAAGUAGAGGAUGCUGGAGGAUGGCGCGAGCUCACGCUCCGCUCCCAAAGGUGCCACAAGAAGCUGUUCCUGCCGCCCGGAUCUGCAGCAGAGGAAAUGCAGAGCGCUGAACCCCGUUCCACUUCUUGCUUCUCCUUUUCAACUGCAAUGAAUGUACAUCGAGGAACAGCCACGGGGUUUGUCCUUAAGCCUCGGAGUGCCCUGAUGAGCCACUGCGACCAGAGUCCGGUCAUUGCGGCCAACAAAUGGCACGGAGGCCCCUGGRAGCCUCUCGAGGGACAUGAUUCAAGCAGGAGCCGCUUCCUCCCACCACAGAGCCGCAGAGAAGGAAGUGCUGAGAAUGGCCCUGGGACAKCGCAGAAGUUCUGUAGUUAGUUUCUUCCCACCUCCUUUCCCCUUGUUCUGAAAUGGGCCUAAAUCCCCUAACACAUCAUCUCCUCCCCACCUGCAUAGAACCAGGUGGGGGCUAUUUACAGGUCAGUUUUCUAGCUGCCCUCCCUCCGCUUUUUUGGUAUAAAGUUACAGCCUUUUUUUUUAUUAUUAUUAUUAUUAUUUCUCUCUCAUCCAAGACCCCCCUCCUCAUUUUCUAAUCCUUAUGCGUGGUGGACUCUGCAGCAACAGGAGCUUGUCCUGGAUUUCAAUGGUCUGUGACUGACCUUCUGCAACACUGACCUGCUAAAGGCUGGGAGAAGCUCCAAGUCUUCCCUCACCACGGAGCUCAGCCCCACUCCUCCACGCCAAGCAGCUCUAACUCCCUCUGGGUUCACUCACCUACAUUCACUAAAUGCUGGUGUAGCCACACGCACAACUGAUACCUGCUGCAGGACACUGGAAAAACACCUAGUUUUUAAUGUAACAGACUUUUUGUGCCUGCUUUCCCCAUCAGGCAGCUACAUUCACUCCACACACCCCCUGACAACACCCUCCUAG